UACGUAGGGGGCUAGCGUUGUCCGGAAUCAUUGGGCGUAAAGAGCGUGUAGGCGGUCCGGUAAGUCCGCUGUGAAAUCUCGAGGCUCAACUUCGAGCUGUCGGUGGAAACUGUCUGGCUAGAGUCCGGAAGAGGAGAAUGGAAUUCCUGGUGUAGCGGUGAAAUGCGCAGAUAUCAGGAAGAACACCCGUGGCGAAGGCGGUUCUCUGGGACGGUACUGACGCUGAGACGCGAAAGCGUGGGGAGCGAACAGG
rnacentral:rRNA from 1 species